rnacentral:rRNA from 1 species
UACGAAGGGGGCUAGCGUUGCUCGGAAUCACUGGGCGUAAGGGGUGCGUAGGCGGGUCUUUUAAGUCAGGGGUGAAAUCCUGGAGCUCAACUCCAGAACUGCCUUUGAUACUGAAGAUCUUGAGUUCGGGAGAGGUGAGUGGAACUGCGAGUGUAGAGGUGAAAUUCGUAGAUAUUCGCAAGAACACCAGUGGCGAAGGCGGCUCACUGGCCCGAUACUGACGCUGAGGCGCGACAGCGUGGGGAGCGAACAGG